UGGGGAAUAUUGGACAAUGGGCGGAAGCCUGAUCCAGCAACGCCGCGUGAGGGAUGACGGCCUUCGGGUUGUAAACCUCUUUCAGUACCGACGAAGCGGAAGUGACGGUAGGUACAGAAGAAGCACCGGCCAACUACGUGCCAGCAGCCGCGGUAAUACGUAGGGUGCGAGCGUUGUCCGGAAUUAUUGGGCGUAAAGGGCUCGUAGGCGGUUUGUCGCGUCGGGAGUGAAAACACUGGGCUUAACUCAGUGCUUGCUUCCGAUACGGGCAGACUAGAGGCAUGCAGGGGAGAACGGAAUUCCUGGUGUAGCGGUGAAAUGCGCAGAUAUCAGGAGGAACACCGGUGGCGAAGGCGGUUCUCUGGGCAUGUCCUGACGCUGAGGAGCGAAAGUGUGGGGAGCGAACAGGAUUAGAUACCCUGGUAGUCCACACCGUAAACGUUGGGCGCUAGGUGUGGGGCCUAUUCCAUGGGUUCCGUGCCGCAGCUAACGCAUUAAGCGCCCCGCCUGGGGAGUACGGCCGCAAGCUAAAACUCAAAUGAAUUGACGGGGUCAUAGCUGUUUCCU
rnacentral:rRNA from 1 species